AUGGAGGAUUAUGUGCACAAGUACUACUCAGUUAGCAGAUUCAGGGCAGCAUAUGAAGGUGUAAUUGAGCCCCUUACGGACAAGAAUCGGUGGCCACAUGUUGAUACAGGCUUUGUGUUGCGUCCACCAAUUCCAAAAGGCAAGAAAAAAGGUGCAGGAAGAACAAGAAAACAUGGGAUGAAUAGUUGGUGGGAAGGUGGAUCAAUGAAGGGAUCAUUGAAUAAAUGCAAAAAAUGCGGGGAGGUAGGACAUAUAGAAGCCGGCUGUCCUCAAAAUGGAACAAAGAAACGGUACAAACUAAUACUUGUUGCUGUUUUCUACCUAUAA
rnacentral:rRNA from 1 species